GGCGGUGUAGCUCAGCUGGUUAGAGCGCACGACUCAUAAUCGUGAGGUCGCGGGAUCGAGUCCCGCCACCGCUACCC
rnacentral:tRNA from 1 species